rnacentral:rRNA from 1 species
AUUGAACGCUGGCGGCAGGCUUAACACAUGCAAGUCGAGCGGGGACUUCGGUCCUAGCGGCGAACGGGUGAGUAAUGCCUAGGAAUCUGCCUGGUAGUGGGGGAUAACGUUCGGAAACGGACGCUAAUACCGCAUACGUCCUACGGGAGAAAGUGGGAGAUCUUCGGACCUCACGCUAUCAGAUGAGCCUAGGUCGGAUUAGCUAGUUGGUGGGGUAAAGGCUCACCAAGGCGACGAUCCGUAACUGGUCUGAGAGGAUGAUCAGUCACACUGGAACUGAGACACGGUCCAGACUCCUACGGGAGGCAGCAGUGGGGAAUAUUGGACAAUGGGCGAAAGCCUGAUCCAGCCAUGCCGCGUGUGUGAAGAAGGUCUUCGGAUUGUAAAGCACUUUAAGUUGGGAGGAAGGGCAGCUAGUUAAUACCUGGUUGUUUUGACGUUACCAACAGAAUAAGCACCGGCUAACUUCGUGCCAGCAGCCGCGGUAACAC